rnacentral:lncRNA from 13 species
GGUCGCGUCGCUCUCCGCCGCCCCCCGCCCUCCUCCGCGGGGCUCCUCGCUCCGCCGCCGGCUCUAUCUCAUCGCAGCCCCGGAGCAGCCCGGACUCCCCGCGGCGCUGCUGCCCAGCGGAUCUCCGACGGCCCGCGGCGGGGCCGCACCAUGGGGGGGGCGGCGGGGCGGCGCGGGCAUAGACGGCGCCGCGGGGGCCGCUCCCGUGGCGGCGCUGGGGCUCGGGCGCGCCGCGCCGUACCCUACAUCGGCUGCCAACGCGGGGCCGGGCGGGGAGCGGCGGAGGCGAGGGCCGGGGGGAGCCCGGGGCAGCGCUCGGCUGCGCCCCGCGGCCAGAUCGGACAGGGCUUGGAGCAGCCUGGGAUAGUGGAAGGUGUCCCUGCCCAUGGCAGGUGGUGGAACAAGAUAAGAUCCAUUCCAACCCAAACCAUUCUGGGAUUCUGUAAGAUGAAGAAGGGGAUGGGGAAGAAACGUCACCUUCAGCCACUCCAAAAAUGGUGCAGCCUCUGAGGCUCCUGCAGGAGAGAGAUGCACAUGCUGAGUCCAGCCACUGCUCGCAUGGCAUUUUGGGAAUUUGUCUCAUCUGCCUCAGCCUCAAUCCUUCCUUCCCCAGCCUCAGAAGGACCAGCAGCCCCUAAACCUUUCCUGUCCUCCUCCGGCUACAGGACCCCAGUUCUGUCACAUGAACCAGCUGCUCUGCUCACAUGGGAAAGGAAUUACAACCAGAGGACUCAUCUAGAAAUCACACCCCCGUAACAAACACACAGGAGUUUGUCCUUUUAUCAGCAUUUAUUCAGCAGCCUGUGGAGACAGUCUGCCUUUCUGGAGUCUUUUCCAAGCAGAUAACACCUAGUCCUGAAACUGCCCUUUAUGUUCUUGUUGGCUUGGCUUUGGUGAAUUGUCAUUUUCGAGCUGGAAAGGGACUAUUUGAGUAAGAAAAACAGCUCUGUUUGCUGCCACCAUGCUGAUCCAGCAACAAACUGUGUAACAUGCCAAGCCCAGUGUCCUUAAAAAAAAUAAAUCUACCCCUCUCCAUGUUUACCCACACAAUUUGCAAACACAAAACUGGAAGUUCCCCAGGGGGUAGGAUUAAAAAAAGGAUUAUUCUAUUUGGAGCUGGUCCAGAAAGCAAAGGGAGUAUAUAUAAAUGUAUAUGUUUAUGUCCAAAAUGGAUUUUAAUUGAGGUUUGUUGUGUCCAGUGGUGUUCUGCUAGAAGCAGGAGCUAAAAACACAGUGGGGCUGGAGGAGAAGGAAGUUUGAGGAAGACAUCAAAGCAGAUCUGAGAAAGGUCAUCCCUAAAUGGCAACCUGUCCAUUUCUGCAAUAGUUUGCUCUCCUAUUUAUGAUGGUAUUUUCUGGGAAGAGCUGGUCAGAGCCAACUAGGGCAGGCUUGUAAAAAGAUAAUUUUUCUCCCUUAGAAAACACAAAGACAGACAGACUGGGCUGCUGGCUUUUCUCCCUGCCCAAGAUCUGCUGCCCUGGGCAAUUUGUUCUGUUGCAGCAGCUCUUUGCUGGAGUGAGUGGCGUCUGGGCAGCUUCAGAGCAGACGCCAGUCACUCCAGUAAAGAGCUGCUUACCACAGCUUUGGUAAAUAUUUUCUGCAGUGGUGCAGCAGUGUCUCACAGAGCAGCACUGUUAUUUCGUAGGCAUCUCCAAUAAUAACUCCGAGAGAAGCAGCCACAAGACAUUAGCAAAAGCUGCUGCCACUGACCAAAACUUUGGAGAAGCAGGAACAGAAGUGGGCAGAGAAUAGAAAUAGGGACUGAGUCACUGGCUGGAGAGACAGCAAGGGAAAAUUGGAAAAGGCAGGCUUCAAAAGCUGGUCCUGGGACACAGCUGCAGGAUCAGCACACACUGGGCUGAUGCUUCCCCAAAUUUCUCACAACCUCUAAAUGGGGAUAUGAAAAUCAUUAUGGGAAAAAGAGAAUAUUGUCUUCCCUGUUUUGAAUCUGGACCAAAGGUAGCCAGAGGCACUCAUUGCUGAAGUACCAAA